rnacentral:rRNA from 1 species
AUGCUGCAGCCGGCCGCGCGCGUCCGGCGCCUGACCACGACCUUCGCGGUGCCGCUCUCCGACCUCACGGACGCGCUCCUCGCCACCCGCCUCGCCAAUCACCUCCUCACCACGCCGCACAUCCCGCCCGCCGCACCGCUGCCGCUCCUCGUCCGCCUCCACGCCCUCCGCCACCCGACCCUCCCGCCCACGUCCUCCGCCAGUUUUGGAUGA